rnacentral:rRNA from 1 species
UACGAAGGGGGCUAGCGUUGCUCGGAAUCACUGGGCGUAAAGGGUGCGUAGGCGGGUCUUUAAGUCAGGGGUGAAAUCCUGGAGCUCAACUCCAGAACUGCCUUUGAUACUGAGGAUCUUGAGUUCGGGAGAGGUGAGUGGAACUGCGAGUGUAGAGGUGAAAUUCGUAGAUAUUCGCAAGAACACCAGUGGCGAAGGCGGCUCACUGGCCCGAUACUGACGGCUGAGGCACGAAAAGCGUGGGGAGCAAACAGG